CCACCCAUCCACAAAUCCCUGUGUGCUGGCCACCACUCAUUUAGGGAAAUGUCCUAAUUUAUAGGGAGCACAGCCUCACCCCCACCCUCACUGUCACGAAGUAACCUUCUAGCCAGGACCUUAAAGUCAAUUGAUUGUUUGACUAAAGGGUGUUACAUGGCCAAAGGGCACAGAUGUCCUAUAAUAAGACUAUUCACAGUGUGUGGGUGGGUAGGGGUGGGGGGGUGUCAUCUCUGAGUAGAUGCCACUUAAGCCGAGAAUUAAAGGAUGAAGAGAGGGGUAGAAUGUAGCUCAGUGGGUAGCGUUUGCCCUGAUCCACCUCCAUAUACAAAGCCCUGGGUUCGAUCCCCAGAAUCAUCUAAACCAGGCAUGAUGGCGCAUGUCUGAAAUCCCAGCAUUUGGGUGGUGGAGGCCAGAGGGCCCAAAGUUAAAGGUCUUUCUGGCUGUAUAGUAAAUUUGAAGCCGGCCUGGGCUAUACAAGAUCGUCUCUCAGAGAACAAGAUGCUUUCAAGGGGACAGUGGAGCAGGGAACAGGGGCGUGAACCGGUACAGGGAAGGGAUGGGACACGGGCCUGGAGGCCUUCAAGGCCCAGAGAGCAUAGGGAGGGACACGAUGCCAUUCCAUCACCCUGUGAAAAGAACUGGUUUCCUUCCACACCUUUAACAUGGCCCCAGAUGAGGCCAGAGAGGGGCUUGGGGGAGCCAGACCUUUCUGCAGGGCCCUCCCGGAUAAACUGCUUUAAAGGGAAACCCAGAAAGCAAACAAGACAGCUCUGUCCGUCAGCCUUCAUUUCUCUAAACAAGCAGCAGGCUGAGCCCAUCCUGGGAAAGCAAUUCCACCCAGGAAGUAGUCCUUGGAAAGAGAGAGGAGUUGGCUCAGCCUCCUCUCAGCGGAAGUGGUGGCGGGACCCAUGUGUACUAUGCAAAUACAGCCACAUGCAAACCAGACCUUGAGCCGAUUGGCCCAGGACCAAAGUUCUCCAGGUCGCUGCUGCUGCUGCUGCUGCUGCUGCUGCUGCUGCUGCUGCUGCUGCUGCUGCUGAGCAGGGAGGGCAGAGACAGCACUGGCCUCUGGCCUUGGCUUGCCUGCUCCACUGCCGUGGCUCCACCAGCCCUGUUACUGCCACGUGGGCACACGACCAGGACUUUCCCAAGCCGAACCCUUGUUCUAGAAGCAUUGCUACAGCUAUAACCACCCACUUGAGAGUAGGAGCCAGGACGCCUGUGAUCACGCUCGGCACCCAACAGGCAAGUGAGAAAUCGGUUUCCUGAGACGUGGAACUGCCUCUCAGAUUUGUGAGCGGGGGCUAUGCUCAGAGGCUCAUCGGCGGCUCGCCAGUUCCCAGAGCUUCUGUCCUGACCUCGUGGAGGGAAGGUUCUGGAGGAGACCUCGCUUGGCCACUUGGUUCCUGAUCCCACCGUUUGCCGCCCCCCCCCGGGGGGAGUUAAUUGCUGCUGUGUGGGAGAAUGGCAGCCCUCUUGACAGCUCCACAGAGCUGACACAGGCUGUCCCCGUCUCUGCGUUAGGAGUUUAGGUGUGGCUCUGCAGGGUCCACUUCCCAGCGUCAUCUCACAAGGGUGGCAUCUAGAGUCAUUCGGUGCUGUGAUGUCAAGGGAGGCUUACCUGGGCAGGAAUCCUCUUCCAGGUCCUUGCGUUGGCUUUGGAAUAUUGGGUUCUGGGCUUUGCAUUUUCACUGACAUCCCUCUGGGGGCUGAAUCCUCUGUUCCUAGAGGCUCAACUCUGUUCCUUGCCCAUCAGGACCUCCCCAACCUGGUCCCUUUGUCCUCAAGGGACCUCAGGAUGGAAGCAGCAAGGACCAAAUGCAGCCAUGCCAUCAAAUCCACUCAAACGUGGCCGAGGCAGGUUGGUGCCACAUUUCAGGUGGCUCCUGGAGUUCUCAACGCUACCCCAAAGCACUUUUUCCUGUACUCCUUCUUCCCACAGCCAGGAUCCCUCGUGGGACUCCAGGCCACCUGCACAUCUGGUUCUUCCUCUGCCUUCUGACGUCGGCUCAGGAGAGGACUUUGGAGGCACCCCACCUGCUUCGUUGACAACGGCCUGAGUUAAGCCUCUCCACAGCUGAGCACACUGCCAGAGUGUGGUAAACUGCUGCAAUUACCCAGCUUAGCAGGCUCGCUCGCUCGCUCAGGCUCCGGGAAGGCCAGCCCUUCCCAGGGAAGCCAACAGGACCCACGCAGGUCUGCCUAAGACCGUGGAAUUCAACCUUGAAGUGGCUCCACCAGCUGCCUCCCUGUGGACUAGGGCAUCACAAGCAACACUCGGAUUGCUUCGCUCACUUCAGUCACCCCAGGGACUCCUGGCUUUUGGGAGUCGGCACAUUUCACCCUGAGACCCCGGGGUCAUUUGGUAGAGCCUGGAAAAGAAACUGUAGGCUGCAUUGUGAAAUAACGAAGUGACAGAGAAUGGAGUCCGUUUCUAGAGGGGACCACAAACACAGGAGUGUUUACGAUUUCAGGAGAUGUGUAAGCUGUGUGUGUGUGUGUGUGUUGUGUGUGUGUGUGUGUGUUUUGUGGUAUAUGUGGUGU